rnacentral:misc_RNA from 1 species
GAUGAAGAACGUAGCGAAAUGCGAAAAGUAAUGUGAAUUGCAGAAUUCAGUGAAUCAUCGAAUCUUCGAACGCACAUUGCGCCCGCCAGUAUUCUGGCGGGCAUGCCUGUCUGAGCGUCAUUUCAACCCUCACGCCCCUAGGGCGUGGUGUUGGGGAUCGGCCAAGGCCCGCAAGGGACGGCCGGCCCCUAAAUCUAGUGGCGGACCCAUCGUGGCCUCCCCUGCGAAGUAGUAAUAUAUUCCGCAUCGGAUAGCGAUGAGCCCCUGCCGUUAAACCCCCAACUCUUUCAAGGUUGACCUCAGAUCAGGUAGGAAUACCCGCUGAACUUAAGCAUAUCAAUAAGCGGAGGA